ACCUGCCACCCAUUACUUUUUUUUUUUCCUCUGAUUUCCGAAGUUAAGUAGGGUUGGGCCUGGUUGGUACUUGGAUGGGAGACCAUCUGGGAAUACUAGGUGCUGUAGGUU
ensembl:rRNA 5S_rRNA 5S ribosomal RNA